CGUUAGUGGGGCGGUGGAGAAGGUUCCGUCAAAGUCACUGAGGCGUUUAGGUGGCGUGCACUUUGAACAAAAAAAGAAACGUAACAAUGUUAAUUUCAUAAUAGUAAAAACGGAAGAAGGCGAGUGAAUGUGGCGCACUCCAAAGGGAGGCGCUUCAGCGUGCAUUCUGUGUGCUACAUACAUUCCAGCCUGUAAAAGUAUUUGCAUGUAGUUGCGUUUAGGAGAAAAGUCGAGAGGACUGAACAGCUGUUAACAUGCAGUAAGGAGAUGACUGCGACUUUGUGCUUGCACAACAAACUGUGGCUAGAAUGGGAAACCCUGUGAAGGAAAAGAAGGGCUCUAUAACACAGGACGAGGUACACUCUAUAACUGCUAGCAAUCAUACAGAGGGUAAUAAAGAGAGUCAUAAUGUAUUAAACUCCUUGGUGUCUGGAGCAUUUGCUGGAGCUGUGGCCAAGACAGCAGUGGCGCCAUUGGACAGGACAAAGAUAAUAUUUCAAGUUUCGGCAAGAAGAUUUUCAGCUAAGGAAGCCUACAAGGUAAUUUAUCACACAUACCUUAAUGAUGGCUUCUUCAGUCUGUGGCGAGGAAAUUCUGCCACUAUGGUCCGUGUCAUCCCCUAUGCAGCCAUCCAGUUUUGCUCACAUGAACAGUACAAAAGACUUCUUGGAGGUUAUUAUGGCUUCCAAGGAAGAGCUUUACCCCCUUUUCCUCGCUUCCUGGCUGGAUCUUUAGCAGGAAUUACUGCUUCCAUGCUGACAUACCCAUUGGACAUGGUCCGAGCUCGGAUGGCAGUUACACCUAAAGAAAUGUACAGCAAUAUAUUUCACGUGUUCAUUCGUAUCUCCCAGGAGGAGGGUCUUCCCACAUUGUAUCGAGGGUUUACACCUACAAUUCUAGGAGUGAUUCCUUAUGCUGGACUAAGCUUUUUCACCUAUGAAACCCUAAAGAAGCUUCAUGCAGAUCACAGUGGUCGUCUGCAGCCUUAUUCAUAUGAGCGUCUAAUAUUUGGUGCCUGUGCUGGUCUUAUUGGACAGUCAGCUUCAUACCCUCUGGAUGUGGUUCGUCGGCGUAUGCAGACUGCUGGUGUGACAGGCCACACGUACAACUCCAUUGUUGGCACCAUACAAGAGAUUGUCAGAGAGGAGGGCUUUGUGCGGGGACUUUACAAAGGACUUAGUAUGAACUGGGUAAAGGGACCCAUUGCAGUGGGUAUUAGUUUCACAACUUUUGACCUGACACAGAUUCUUCUGCGAAAGCUGCAGCAAUGUGGUUAUAUCCAGCAGUAACCAAAACUGAAGAAUUGUGGAUGGACAUGAGAUGAGUGCAAGGGGUCAUAGCAAGAAGAUGAUACAGAAGAUGCUUUCAUAAAUCUUACAAUAUAUUGGAAGAUGGCUAUUGGCACAAUUAUGAACCCCUAAAUAUAAAUAUAUCCCAUAAAAAAGGAAGAGGACCAGAAGAACAGUGCUUAUAUGACUGCACAUGGAUGCACUGUAAAAAAAAGAAGUACUUUUAUUAUUCAUGCUCAAUUAUUUCCACUUUCCUUUCUUCUUAAUUUUACAUGUUUCAAAGAUGGUUGCAUUUGAAUUCAUUUAGCUGUUGUAUUGAGCAAAUGGUGGAUGGAUUUUAGUUUUUAACACCUUUUCUAUCACCGAACAAACUGUAAUUUCUGUGCUAAACUGUGUAAUAUUGUUCUGUCAAACAAGAUGCGGAAGUCACUUUCUGCAACAAAUUCAAAACUGUGUACCAUGUUCCACUAUUGAUUAGCUACUUUGAAGAGAUUAGUAAUACUUUUCUUCUCCUGGAAAUGUAACUAUUAAUUAAAGUUUCACUGGCUUCUAACCAUAA